rnacentral:rRNA from 1 species
AUACGGAGGAUGCAAGCGUUAUCCGGAUUUAUUGGGUUUAAAGGGUGCGUAGGCGGAUGAUUAAGCGUGAGGUGAAAUGCCACUGCUCAACAGUGGAACUGCCUCGCGUACUGGUUGUCUUGAAUGCUCCUGCCGUGGGAGGAAUGUGUGGUGUAGCGGUGAAAUGCAUAGAGAUCACACAGAACACCGAUUGCGAAGGCAUCUCACGAAGGGGUGAUUGACGCUGAGGCACGAAAGCGUGGGGAUCAAACAGGAUUAGAUCCCCUGGUAGUCCACGCAGUAAACGAUGAUAACUAACCGCUGGGUCGUAGUGAUUCAGUGGCCAAGCGAAAGCGAUAAGUUAUCCACCUGGGGAGUACGACCGCAAGGUUGAAACUCAAAUGAAUUGACGGGG